rnacentral:rRNA from 1 species
UCUUCGGAGGCAGCAGUGGGGAAUUUUGCCCAAUGGGCGAAGCUGAUGCAGCGACGCCGCGUGGGGAUGACGCUUCGGGUGUAACCUCUUCAGUAGGAAGAAGCGAAAGUGACGGUACUGCAGAAGAAGCGCCGGCUAACUACGUGCCAGCAGCCGCGGUAAUACGUAGGGCGCAAGCGUUGUCCGGAAUUAUUGGGCGUAAAGAGCUCGUAGGUGGCUUGUCGCGUCUGCCGUGAAAACCCGAGGCUCAACCUCGGGCGUGCGGUGGGUACGGGCAGGCUAGAGUGUGGUAGGGGAGACUGGAACUCCUGGUGUAGCGGUGAAAUGCGCAGAUAUCAGGAAGAACACCGAUGGCGAAGGCAGGUCUCUGGGCCAUUACUGACACUGAGGAGCGAAAGCAUGGGUAGCGAACAGGAUUAGAUACCCUGGUAGUCCAUGCCGUAAACGUUGGGCACUAGAUGUGGGGGACAUUCCACGUUUUCCGCGUCGUAGCUAACGCAUUAAGUGCCCCGCCUGGGGAGUACGGCCGCAAGGCUAAAACUCAAAGGAAUUGACGGGGGCCCGCACAAGCGGCGGAGCAUGCUGAUUAAUUCGAUGCAACGCGAAGAACCUUACCAAGGCUUGACAUGCACCGGACGGCCGCAGAGAUGUGGCUUUCUUCGGACUGGUGCACAGGUGGUGCAUGGUUGUCGUCAGCUCGUGUCGUGAGAUGUUGGGUUAAGUCCCGCAACGAGCGCAACCCUUGUUCUAUGUUGCCAGCACGUCAUGGUGGGGACUCAUAGGAGACUGCCGGGGUCAACUCGGAGGAAGGUGGGGACGACGUCAAAUCAUCAUGCCCCUUAUGUCUUGGGCUUCAAGCAUGCUACAAUGGUCGGUACAAUGGGUUGCGAAACUGUGAGGUGGAGCGAAUCCCAAAAAGCCGGCCUCAGUUCGGAUUGGGGUCUGCAACUCGACCCCAUGAAGUCGGAGUCGCUAGUAAUCGCAGAUCAGCACGUGCGU